ACGCUCGACACCUACGGGAGGGCAGCAGUGGGGGAUAUUGCACAAUGGAGGAAACUCUGAUGCAGCGACGCCGCGUGAGGGAAGAAGGUUUUCGGAUUGUAAACCUCUGUCUUCGGUGACGAAAAUGACGGUAGCCGAGGAGGAAGCCACGGCUAACUACGUACCAGCAGCCGCGGUAAUCUGAGCGGGCUGGCAAGGC
rnacentral:rRNA from 1 species